AGAUGUGACGGCUCUCUGGCUGCGACAUCUGUCACACCAUUGCAAACACCAGGGUUAAUUCAUCUGAUCUGGCUGGUUAGGUGGGGGUCCCCUUCCUCCUUCAUUUCUUAAUCUGUGCCCCCCCCACAAGCUGUUCACUCUGUCCAAGAGAACGACAGUCCUGGAUAAAGGAGGAUUGUUCUUGGGCCCAGGGUAUGGAUGCGGUGGAACCUCAAAAAACAAAACAAAACAAAAACAAAAACAAAAACAAAAAACCGAGCUCUCCAAUGACAAAAUGUGACUAAUAUUU
rnacentral:sRNA from 1 species